rnacentral:lncRNA from 1 species
CCUCCUGGGUUCAAGUGAAUCUCCUGCCUCAGCCUCCCAAGUAGCUGGGACUACAGGCACCCAUCACGAUGCCUGGCUAAUUUUUUGUAUUUUUAGUAAAUAUGGGGUUUCACCGUGUUGGCCAGGAUAAAUUUUUGAGGAACGGUAUGUUUUCCACAGCUGAUGUACUAUUUUUAAUACCCACCCUCAAUGCACAAGAGUUACAAUUUUUCCACAUCCUUGUCAGCACUUGUUAUUUUCUGGGUGUUUUUGUUUUGUUUUGUUUUGAGGCCGAGUCUCCUUCUGUCUCCAGGCUGGAGUGCAGUGGCGUGAUCUCGGCUCACUGCAACUUCCGCCUCCCAGGUUCAAGNNNNNNNNNNACUUCCGCCUCCCAGGUUCAAGCGAUUCUCGUGCCUCUGUCUCUCAAUUAGCUGAGAUUACACAUGUGUUCCACCAUGCCCGACUAAUUGCGUGUGUGUGUGUGUGUGUGUGUGUGUUG